UACCAGCACCCCGAGUGGUCGGGACGAUUAUUGGGCCUAAAGCAUCCGUAGCCGGUUCUACAAGUCUUCCGUUAAAUCCACCUGCUUAACAGAUGGGCUGCGGAGGAUACUAUGGAGCUAGGAGGCGGGAGAGGCAAGCGGUACUUAGUGGGUAGGGGUAAAAUCCGUUGAUCCAUUGAAGACCAUCAGUGGCGAAGGCGGCUUGCCAGAACGCACUCGACGGUGAGGGAUGAAAGCUGGGGGAGCAAACCGG
rnacentral:rRNA from 1 species